CCGUUCUCUGUUUCGUCCCUGUUGACAUUCAUCUUCUCCUGAGCCUUGGCGUUCCAGAUUGGUGGAGAUACAUAUUUGGGACAACGAUUUAUGUAAAGAGAGAGGGACAAGGCAGGAGACGACUAUGAAAAAACACUUUCAGUUUUCAUCUCAGAGACAAAAAAGCAAGCAAACAGAAGGCACAUAUAGAACAAGUACCAGCUUGUUUAGGAAGAGCUAUCCAGUUGUCAUGGCCAUGUUUUUCUAUGUAAGAGACGAGAAGCCGGUCUCACAGCAAGGAGCCCUCACCAUGUUGCAGGAAACAACCAGCUGAACCUCACCAUGUUGCAUGUUUUUGUUUUUUGUUUUUGGUUGGUAACAGUGGAGGAGAACGACUGAAUGCAAUGUAAGAAGGAAGUUGACAAGGAGGGUUAGUUCUUUUGUUUGAUUUUCAAAAGGAUAAUAGCUUUUAUGUAAUGGAUCGUUCCGUUCUAAUAUUCUAUCGGAGAGCUAUAGCUUUUAA